UAGGGAAUCUUCCGCAAUGGACGCAAGUCUGACGGAGCAACGCCGCGUGAGUGAAGAAGGAUUUCGGUUCGUAAAACUCUGUUGUUAGAGAAGAACAGCGCAUAGAGUAACUGUUAUGCGUGUGACGGUAUCUAACCAGAAAGCCACGGCUAACUACGUGCCAGCAGCCGCGGUAAUACGUAGGUGGCAAGCGUUGUCCGGAUUUAUUGGGCGUAAAGCGAGCGCAGGCGGUCAAUUAAGUCUGAUGUGAAAGCCCCCGGCUCAACCGGGGAGGGUCAUUGGAAACGGGUUGACUUGAGUGCAGAAGAGGAGAGUGGAAUUCCAUGUGUAGCGGUGAAAUGCGUAGAUAUAUGGAGGAACAGCAGUGGCGAGGGCGACUCUCAGGUCUGUAACUGACGCUGAGGCUAGAAAGCGUGGGUAGCAAACAGG
rnacentral:rRNA from 1 species